rnacentral:rRNA from 1 species
GUCCACGCCGUAAACGUUGGGCGCUAGGUGUCGGGGACCUUCCACGUCUUCGGUGCCGCAGCUAACGCAUUAAGCGCCCCGCCUGGGGAGUACGGCCGCAAGGCUAAAACUCAAAGGAAUUGACGGGGGCCCGCACAAGCGGCGGAGCAUGUGGCUUAAUUCGACGCAACGCGAAGAACCUUACCUGGGUUUGACAUGCAGGGAAAUCUCAUAGAGAUAUGAGGUCCGCAAGGGUCCUGCACAGGUGGUGCAUGGCUGUCGU